UACGUAGGUGGCGAGUGUUAUCCGGAUUUACUGGGUGUAAAGGGCGUGUAGGCGGGAUCGCAAGUCAGAUGUGAAAUUCUGAAGCUUAACUUCAGCGCUGCAUCUGAAACUGUGGUUCUUGAGUGAUGGAGAGGAAAGUGGUAUUCCUAGUGUAGCGGUGAAAUGCGUAGAUAUUAGGAGGAACACCGAUGGCGAAGGCAAUCCCCUGGACCUGUACUGACGCUCAUGCACGAAAGCGUGGGGAGCAAACAGG
rnacentral:rRNA from 1 species